rnacentral:rRNA from 1 species
UACGUAGGGACCGAGCGUUGUCCGGAUUCAUUGGGCGUAAAGAGCUCGUAGGCGGCCACUCAAGUCGAAUGUGAAACCUCGAGGCUUAACCUCGAGCCUGCAUUCGAUACUGGGUGGCUAGAGUCUGGUAGGGGGAUCUGGAAUUCCUGGUGUAGCGGUGGAAUGCGCAGAUAUCAGGAGGAACACCGGUGGCGAAGGCGGCCUGCUGGGCAGUAGCUGACGCUGAGGCGCGACAGCGUGGGGAGCAAACAGG